AACACUCUCCGUCUGCACUUCCGGCUUCAUCCCUUUGCUUUUUAAGUUCCCCCUGGGAACGCGCGGCCACUGAGAUCUGCGUUCCGGCCGCCAUGGCCGCGGCGGGCGGUGGUGGGGAUGGAGGUGCUGGGCCGGGCCGAGCCCUGCAGACCGCCAUGAGGGCGGCGAGCGGGGCUUUAGAGAUGGACAGCGCGGGGAGGACGCGGGAAGCCUAUGUGGAGUAUCUGAAGAGCAUCACCCUCAUCUCACAGGCCCUGCAAGACGAGGCAGCGCUGACAGAGGACAGCGAAGGGCUCGGCUCCAACACACCCAAAAUGCUGAAGCUGGCAGAGCAGUGCCUGGAGAGAGUCAAGUCCUUGGCAGCCACACUGGGGCAAAAAACAAACAAGGCAAAACCGAGCGUGCCGGGGGGGCCUGCACCCAUCUCCAGGCACCGCAGGGUUUUCUCUGAUGAGGGAGGCAAGCUGUCACCCUUCCUGCCGCCGGAGAUCUUCCAGAAGCUGCAGAUUGCUGAGGCACAGAGUGCACGCAAGGAGCUGACACCACUGGAGGAGGCAUCGCUACAGAACCAGAAGCUGAAAGCUGCCUACGAGGCACGGGUGGCACGGCUCAACCCCAGCCAGGCCCUGCAGAAAACCUCGCUGACGCUGUCUCUACAACGGCAGAUGAUGGAGAAUCUGGUGAUCGCCAGGGCACGAGAGGAGACUCUGCAGAGGAAAAUGGAGGAGCGGCGGCUGCGGCUGCAGGAGGCGGCCAACAGGAGGUUCUCCAGCAGUGUGGCCCUAACCCCUGAGGAGCAAGAGCAGAGAGAGCUCUAUGCUGCCAUCCUUGAGUAUGAACAGGACCAUGAUUGGCCACGGCAGUGGAAGGCCAGGCUGAAGAGGAGCCCGUCAGACCUGUCUCUGGUGACAGGGCUCUUCUCCUGCCUCCUCAGCUUCCCAGAGCACCCCAUAGUUCAGCUCCUGCGCAAGCUGCAGUGUGCGGUGUACACUCGGCUGUACCCAGCCAUCAGCCAGAGCAACCAUGAUGCCACUUCUGCAGCCCCCACCGGCCUUGCUUUCCUUUCACUGGAUGCAGGAGGGCUGCUGCCUGCAGAGCCAGGGGGCCGGCGGCUCCGAGCCUCCCGCAGCCUGCACUGCAUGUUCUCAGUGCCUGAGCACGGCCCAGCCACGCUGCGGCACAGCAUCUCCGGAGCAACCCUGACUGAUGGCAGCCCUGACGCCUCCAGGGCAGAAGGGAAUCCUCGGUCUCCCCGGGAGAGCUCCUUUGAGGAUCUGGAGCGGUUCCUGGCAUCGCCUGAGGACUGGCCCCCAGCAGAGCCCAUGGCUGGGCCCAGGCCUGCGGCAUCGCUGCAGGAGCAGCUGAAGGGCAUCGUGCGGGACAUCCACAAUGCCAUUGACAGGCUGCUGUCCCUGACCCUGCUGGCCUUUGAGGGGUUGAGCACUGCUGCUGGCAAGGACCAGUGCCUGGCCUGCAUCGAGGAUGCUUUCUUCCCUCCAUUGUGGGCCCCGCUGCUGGCCCUUUACAGAGGAAGCCCUGGCUCGCAGCAUGGAGCGGCACCGCCACGCCAGCCCCGCCGACCUGGGGCUGUCCCCUCGGCUCUUCCCCACUGCGCCCGGCCGCCUGGCCUACGGUGCUGCCAUUGAGGAGCUGUGCCUCAUCCCCCUGGAGACUUGUCCCCGCAGGAAGCUGGACUGCAUCGUGCGAGCCCUGCGCAGCAUCUGCGAGUGUGCCGAGGAGUACUGCAGCACCCGCGACAGCCGUGCUCCCACUGCUGGCACCAUGUGAGUAUGGGGUGAGGAGUGCAGCCCUGCUGCCAUGGGGCUGGGGAGGUGGGCUGGUGGGGCUGCUGAUUUGCACCGGAGGGGCUGGCGGCUCUUGUAGGGGUGUCUGUCAGCCCGAUGGUCCCUGUUGUGGGUGGACAGCGAUGCUGGUUGAGCUGGGGUUGAUGGUUCCUGCUGCAGCACGCUGACUGUUUCUGCUGUGGUCGUUAACGGUACCCCACAGGGUUUGCUGUUCCCAUUUUGGGGAACUGAUGGUUCUUCUGCCAUGCUGGUGGAGCCAGUGGUGCCCAGUGCCAUAGCAGUUGGGCUGAUUGUCCCUUUGCCACGGUGUCAGGGUUGAUGGUUCCACUGCCGGGCUGGUGGGGCAACAGUCCCACGGCCGUGGUGGUGGGGUCUGAGCAUUCCACUACCGCGGAGGUGAUGAACCCGAUUGCCCCUUCGCCACGGCAGCGGGCCCACGGUCCUUUAGCCACGGUGAUGGGGGCCGAUGGCCCCGUUGCCACGGCGACGGGCCCGAUGUUCCCGCUGCCACGGUGACGGGGCCCCUGACUGAUGCACGUGGCAGCGGGGCGGAUGAGCUGCUGCCUCUCCUGUCCUACGCGGUGCUGCGCAGCGCUCUGCCCCAGCUGCUGUCGGAGUGCGCCGCGCUGGAGGAGUU